AAUUGCUUGUUUUCCGCGAGUUGCUUUGAGGAGUGUGACUGUUUUCAUAUAAAGCCAAACUGAAGAGUUUGCAUUGUGGAAACAGAUGAAACAGCCGUUGUCCUGGGGAAUCCUAAGCAGCUUCAACACAGCACCAAAACUGGCAGCGCUAACAGGGCCAAACGUAGCGGAGGAGUUGCGUGCCUUCUCUGUGCAGUCAUGUGUGGGCUCACUGCAGCACAUCUGGCUGUGAAGCUGUGAUGCAUCACCCGGGGUGAGGAUGAGUAUUUGUUGGCUCAGUCAAGUGCACCAAGUUAGCUAAGAGUCACUGGAAUAAAAGUUUGUUGUCAAGAGGACUACUUGUUUCUGAAGGAAGAAGACUUCUGUUUCAAGGAGCACUGCAUGAAAAUUACAGCGUCCGCAUUGGAGAGCAAAACGAGGGCAGGAAGUCUGAUGUCGAUGUAGUGGGAAUAAAACUUCAACAGAGAGAAAUUUCUGUGUGAUACAAAGACAUAAAAGAAAAUCCUGCACUAUAGAUUCGUUACUUCGAGAAAGCCUUCUGGGAAGCAGCCAACACAGCAGUAUUCUGCCUGGGAUGUGACGCAGCUGCACGAUGUGAAGAUCCUACAGAUGGCAGUGUCAGCCACGCUGCCCCUCCAGACUUGUCUGAAGAAGUGUGUGGUGCUGGAGCAUGGCUGACAGCGUUGUUCCAGCAAAGAUCAUGUUUCAGAACCAGCUGAAGGAAAGACAGUAAUUUAAUUUGCAAGUGCUUUCAGACAAAUUACAUAAAUGCUAUAAACCUAACUGCUUGUUCUGUACUACUGAAUGCUCAGACUGCCAUAAAGUUUCACAGAACAGCACUCACAGUUAAAUUAUCAGAAGAGUUAUUUUCUCAAGUUCUUAUUUUCACUGAGUCAUGGAAUCAUUUGGGUUGGAAAACACCACUGAGGUAAUUAAUGAAUUCUGUCUGCUUUGAUAAGAGUCUCCUCUUGGUUGUUUUAUGCAUCGUCUCAACCAAUGUGAAUUUAUUUGAAGUAAACUGGACUGACGUUUACUUACAGUUGUAAGAUAAAGGUCCAAAUAUGCGUUCAGAUAUUGACCGAAUGUUGACUGGAACAAGAUGGGUAUCAUAAAAACUGGUCAGUGGAAUG